GAAAAGAACUAACAAGGAUUCCCCUAGUAACUGCGAGUGAAGCGGGAAGAGCUCAAAUUUAAAAUCUGGCGGUCUCAGGCCGUCCGAGUUGUAGUCUGGAGAAGUGCUUUCCGCGCUGGACCGUGUACAAGUCUCUUGGAACAGAGCGUCGUAGAGGGUGAGAAUCCCGUCUUUGACACGGACUACCAGUGCUUUGUGAUGCGCUCUCGAAGAGUCGAGUUGUUUGGGAAUGCAGCUCAAAAUGGGUGGUAAAUUCCAUCUAAAGCUAAAUAUUGGCGAGAGACCGAUAGCGAACAAGUACCGUGAGGGAAAGAUGAAAAGCACUUUGGAAAGAGAGUUAAACAGUACGUGAAAUUGCUGAAAGGGAAACGCUUGAAGUCAGUCGCGUCGUCCGGAACUCACCUCGCCUUCGCUUGGUGCAUUUUCCGGUCGACGGGCCAAGCAUCGAUUUCGACUGUCGAUAAAGGCUGGGGAAUGUGGCACCUUCGGGUGUGUAUAGCCUCCAGUCACAUACGACGGUCGGGAUCGAGGAACUCAGCACGCCUUUAUGGUCGGGGUUCGCCCACGUACGUGCUUAGGAUGCUGGCGUAAUGGCUUUAAACGACCCGUCUUGAAACACGGACCAAGGAGUCUAACAUGCCCGCGAGUGUUUGGGUGGUAAACCCGAGCGCGUAAUGAAAGUGAAAGUUGAGACUCCUGUCGUGGGAGGCAUCGACGCCCGGACCAGACCUUCUGUGACGGCUCCGCGGUAGAGCGUGUAUGUUGGGACCCGAAAGAUGGUGAACUAUGCCUGAAUAGGGUGAAGCCAGAGGAAACUCUGGUGGAGGCUCGUAGCGAUUCUGACGUGCAAAUCGAUCGUCAAAUUUGGGUAUAGGGGCGAAAGACUAAUCGAGCCAUCUAGUAACU
rnacentral:rRNA from 1 species